GCGGAAGCUUGUUUUUAACACGGGCCUGUGGGUGUGGGUGAGAGGAGGGCUGGCUGUAGCUAACGUCACACGGCCACACAGGGGAGCUAGCACAAAUAAUGCCAAAUGGUUAUCAACCUCGCACCUUAUAACAACCACCACACAGCUCCCUAUGCUAACCCCAGUAUUAACACUGUGAGUAUUAGCUCGCUGUAUGUAGCAGUGCUUCCUAGCAACGCUGUGGAAGGCUUACGAUGGUAAGCCCCCCCAUGACAACUUGCCGGUCGAGCUAACGAAGCUAGCAUGUAGACAAUUAUCUCGAGCAACGCGGGGAAGUCAGAUGAACGCUGGGUUUCAUACUCACAGGCUGACAGGCUUCACACGCGGCUCUCCAAUGCCGUGCAGCUGGGAAAUACAGGGGGCGACUUCCGAUGUUGGCUGGGCACUUGACGAUAGGUAGGCUUAGUAAUAGGCCAGGUCAGUGGUCAACACAAGAACUGAAGUCGAAACUAUAUUCUAUUAUACUCCUGUGCUUCAUACAACAAGAUAAAUCCAGCAGUAUUCUUGGUUUUCACCGUGUAAACCCUGAGCAGCUGAUUCAUCCUCCUCUACGAAUCCUGCUAAAUGAAAUCAUAACAAAUACCAGUCUUCUUCCUUUAGUUGGAAGCAGAGUGCGACCUGACUGCAACCGAUGCAUACCGCCCCCUGCAGGAUGGAGUGUGCAGUGUCACGUCCUCCAGGCGGCAGUAGAGGUUGGAAAAUGAUCCAAAUGAGCAAAACUAAACCAAACUCAACCAACACACCAGCCAUUAUCUCCUCACAGCCGUGCUGAUGGAAUGUUGGGUCAAGUUUCGUAGAGCACAACAACAUACUGGAGCUCCACACCAAAACAGCAUCGCAGCGUUCCAACAACUGAACUAGCUGGAGACUUGUUUUGAAACAUAUUAAAGAAAAAAAGAAACAAAGAAAAAAAAGGACAGAGGGCAAAACUCCACUGAGCAGCCAGUAUUCAAUGGGCCGAAUAACCAGGAAGUAAACACAGAAGCCAGGAAACAUUUUUGGUGUUUGUUCUUUUACAUUUGAAAGUUGUUUACCAGAAUGUACUGUGAAGCUCCAGACAUGUUUUGUGGAUUAUGAAACUUCACCUCACUCUCCAUCAUGGUGAUAAGUGAGCACUGAAUUUUUAGUUUUGGGUGAAUUUAUCAAUCAUAAUUCCAAGUAGCCAAAAACACACAAAAUGGACUGAACUUUGGGGGGGUUUCAUCAGCAUAUAACUGGUUAUUGUAAUUCAGAUAGUCUCAAUGCGCUCCUCUCUCAAUUUGUUCAAAGACUGAAAAAAUAAGAUUCUCUCAUUUGAACGGCACAUUGACUUUGUGGUUCAUUGUUGCUUCCUGGAAAAAAUACUUGUUUAGUGAUAACAACACUGUGUAAGGCAUCAAGGUGGAUGUGACGCACAUGUUCUAUUCCACUCGCUUGCUUUUGACAUUCAACCUUGCAAUUUACCGGUUUAUCCACCAGAGGUCACACUCCACAUAUUUUUGUUUAAAGACAAAGUGUAAAAUAAGAUAAGAUAAGAUAAGAUUUAAUGCUUUAUUGAUCCACCAGAGGGCUGAGUGCACUCAAAUGAUAACUUUGUCAUACUCUCUCCUGCAAUAAAUCACAUGUUUAAU
rnacentral:lncRNA from 1 species